CCUACGGGUGGCAGCAGUGAGGAAUAUUGGUCAAUGGACGAGAGUCUGAACCAGCCAAGUAGCGUGAAGGAUGACUGCUCUAUGGGUUGUAAACUUCUUUUAUAUGGGAUUAAAAUGUUCCACGUGUGGGAUUUUGUAUGUACCGUAUGAAUAAGGAUCGGCUAACUCCGUGCCAGCAGCCGCGGUAAUACGGAGGAUCCGAGCGUUAUCUGGAUGUAUUGGGUUUAAAGGGAGCGUAGGUGGGUUGUUAAGUCAGUUGUGAAAGUUUGCGGCUCAACCGUAAAAUUGCAGUUGAAACUGGCAGUCUUGAGUACAGUAGAGGUGGGCGGAAUUCGUGGUGUAGCGGUGAAAUGCUUAGAGAUCACGAAGAACUCCGAUGGCGAAGGCAGUUCACUGGACUGCAACUGACACUGAGGCUCGAAAGUGUGGGUAUCAAACAGGAUUAGAUACCCCAGUAGUC
rnacentral:rRNA from 1 species